AGCGUUAAGUAAUCCACCUGGGGAGUACGCCGGCAACGGUGAAACUCAAAGGAAUUGACGGGGGCCCGCACAAGCGGAGGAACAUGUGGUUUAAUUCGAUGAUACGCGAGGAACCUUACCCGGGUUUGAACGUAGGGAGACAGGGGUGGAAACAUCCUUUUCAGCAAUGACUGCCUACGAGGUGCUGCAUGGUUGUCGUCAGCUCGUGCCGUGAGGUGUCGGCUUAAGUGCCAUAACGAGCGCAACCCUUAUUUCCAGUUACUAACAGGUGAAGCUGAGGACUCUGGAGAGACUGCCAGCGUAAGCUGUGAGGAAGGUGGGGAUGACGUCAAAUCAGCACGGCCCUUACAUCCGGGGCGACACACGUGUUACAAUGGUAAGGACAAAGGGCAGCUACCGGGCGACCGGAUGCUAAUCUCUAAACCUUAUCUCAGUUCGGAUCGGAGUCUGCAACUCGACUCCGUGAAGCUGGAUUCGCUAGUAAUCGCGCAUCAGCCAUGGCGCGGUGAAUACGUUCCCGGGCCUUGUACACACCGCCCGUCAAGCCAUGGGAGCCGGGGGUACCUGAAGUUCGUAACCGCAAGGAUCGACCUAGGGUAAAACUGGUGACUGGGGCUAAGUCGUAACAAGGUAAGUAUU
rnacentral:rRNA from 1 species